rnacentral:rRNA from 1 species
AGUGAACGCUGGCGGUAGGCCUAACACAUGCAAGUCGAACGGCAGCACAGUAAGAGCUUGCUCUUACGGGUGGCGAGUGGCGGACGGGUGAGGAAUACAUCGGAAUCUACUUUUUCGUGGGGGAUAACGUAGGGAAACUUACGCUAAUACCGCAUACGACCUACGGGUGAAAGCAGGGGAUCUUCUGACCUUGCGCGAUUGAAUGAGCCGAUGUCGGAUUAGCUAGUUGGCGGGGUAAAGGCCCACCAAGGCGACGAUCCGUAGCUGGUCUGAGAGGAUGAUCAGCCACACUGGAACUGAGACACGGUCCAGACUCCUGCGGGAGGCAGCAGUGGGGAAUAUUGGACAAUGGGCGCAAGCCUGAUCCAGCCAUACCGCGUGGGUGAAGAAGGCCUUCGGGUUGUAAAGCCCUGUUGUUGGGAAAGAAAAGCAGCAGGUUAAUACCCCGCUGUUCUGACGGUACCCAAAGAAUAAGCACCGGCUAACUUCGUG